CUGCUAAAUCUUGUUGCCAAGGCAAUGCAACACAAGGAAAGAGCCUAGAGAAAUGAAUCCUGCUGACAGCUCAUGCCAGCAGGCCUGGGCUGAUUAAAAGGGAACUUUUAAAAGUGAUGUUAACUUAAAAAGCACAGCAGCAGAAAGGAAAGAGGAGAGGAUUCAGUGGAGGAGCAAUGGGUUAAUGUCAAGCAACAGCCUUUUAAAAAUGCUUCCUGGCGAAAGGUUAGCUGGAAAACAGAUGAAUCUGCAAGCUGAUUAUUCUCUCCUGUCUAUGAUUCACUGUUAAUGCUGACAGUAUACACUGAAUUGAAGGAAGAAUAUUACCCCAAGGACCACAGAGUCAAAAUAAAUGAUCAGCUCCGAAGAAGUCAGCCUGAAUCAUCAGUACUUGUCAGCUUCAUAAUCUUUCCAAGACUAAAGUAAAACUCAUCUACAUGCCCAGGAGAAGAAAACUCACCCUACAAUAAACCUGAAAGGCAUCUGCUGGGAUAAGCAACUGCUGCCUCUGAAAUUCAAAUACCAGAGUGUGUGAUCAAUGUCACGCAGCACCUCGGCACUCAAAUCAACCUCCUGAGACAUCAAGUUUGUCCCCUGCUGCUGCAGACAAUGUGUUGUAUAAUGACUU